rnacentral:rRNA from 1 species
AUACGGAGGAUCCGAGCGUUAUCCGGAUUUAUUGGGUUUAAAGGGAGCGUAGGCGGAUUAUUAAGUCAGUUGUGAAAGUUUGCGGCUCAACCGUAAAAUUGCAGUUGAUACUGGUUUCCUUGAGUACGGUAUAGGUGGGCGGAAUUCGUGGUGUAGCGGUUAAAUGCUUAGAUAUCACGAAGAACUCCGAUCGCGAAGGCAGCUCACCGGGCCGGAACUGACACUGAUGCUCGAAAGUGCGGGUAUCAAACAGGAUUAGAUACCCUGGUAGUCCGCACAGUAAACGAUGAAUACUCGCUGUUUGCGAUACACUGUAAGCGGCCAAGCGAAAGCGUUAAGUAUUCCACCUGGGGAGUACGCCGGCAACGGUGAAACUUAAAGGAAUUGACGGGG